AGGGGGGCCAGCAGCGCCACGGGGACCCAUGGGACCCUGCACGGGAAAACAUGGAUCUUAAAGCAGCAUCAAACCCAGAGGAGACGCAGUGGACAACAUGUGACCAACCAGGAGUGGACUGGUGCUCAUGUGACCAGGAUACAGGAAAUUAGAUCAGACUCUCAAGCAGGAAUCCACAGUGUGAAGUACAUUCUAAACCCUGCAGGAGAAACAGAAACAUGGACGCCACCUUUGUGCUCUGGUUUAAACUUGACAACCAGAAUUAAAACAAUAAAAUAACUCAAUCAUUUUAAAGAUGUUUCUGAUCUCAGCAAAUAACAAACUCUGACAAGUCAAACUUCUCGUCCUUUAAAACGACG